AGCUUUGCACAGUAGUAGUAUCGCAGCCACGAGGUUUAUCCAAAGCGCGAUUAUUGCUAAUUGAAAAUUUUUCCUAAUAUCCCGCCGAGACGACUUGCAAUAUAGUCGGUAUUGGCAAUUUUUGACAGUCUCCACAGAGA
ensembl:snRNA U4 U4 spliceosomal RNA